CCUACGGGAGGCAGCAGUGGGGAAUUUUGGACAAUGGGCGAAAGCCUGAUCCAGCAAUGCCGCGUGCAGGAAGAAGGCCUUCGGGUUGUAAACUGCUUUUGUACGGAACGAAAAGGUCUGCCCUAAUACGGCGGGCUCAUGACGGUACCGUAAGAAUAAGCACCGGCUAACUACGUGCCAGCAGCCGCGGUAAUACGUAGGGUGCGAGCGUUAAUCGGAAUUACUGGGCGUAAAGCGUGCGCAGGCGGUUAUAUAAGACAGUUGUGAAAUCCCCGGGCUCAACCUGGGAAUUGCAUCUGUGACUGUAUAGCUAGAGUACGGUAGAGGGGGAUGGAAUUCCGCGUGUAGCAGUGAAAUGCGUAGAUAUGCGGAGGAACACCGAUGGCGAAGGCAAUCCCCUGGACCUGUACUGACGCUCAUGCACGAAAGCGUGGGGAGCAAACAGGAUUAGAUACCCUGGUAGUCCACGCCCUAAACGAUGUCAACUGGUUGUUGGGUGCAUUAGUACUCAGUAACGAAGCUAACGCGUGAAGUUGACCGCCUGGGGAGUACGGCCGCAAGGUUGAAACUCAAAGGAUUGACGG
rnacentral:rRNA from 1 species